rnacentral:rRNA from 1 species
GAUGAACGCUGGCGGCGUGCUUGAUACAUGCAAGUCGAACGGAGAGUGUAGCAAUAUACUCUUAGUGGCGAACGGGUGAGUAACGCGUUGGUGACCUGCCCCGAAGCGAGGGAUAACAGUUCGAAAGAACUGCUAAUACCUCAUGUGAUCACCGGUUUUAGAAUCUGGUGAUUAAAGGUGAAAAUCACUUCGGGAGGGGCCUGCGUCCCAUCAGCUAGUUGGUAGGGUAAUGGCUUACCAAGGCGAUGACGGGUAGGGGACCUGAGAGGGUGGCCCCCGACAAUGGAACUGAAACACGGUCCAUACACCUACGGGUGGCAGCAGUAGGGAAUAUUGCAAAUGGGCGAAAGCCUGAUGUAGCAACGCCGCGUGUGCGAUGAAGGUCUUCGGAUUGUAAAGCACUUUUUGGAGGGAUGAGGAAGGACAGUACCUCCAGAAUAAGCCUCGGCUAACUACGUG